rnacentral:rRNA from 1 species
UACAGAGGUCUCAAGCGUUGUUCGGAUUCAUUGGGCGUAAAGGGUGCGUAGGCGGCGCGGUAAGUCGGGUGUGAAAUUUCGGAGCUUAACUCCGAAACUGCAUUCGAUACUGGCGUGCUUGAGGACUGGAGAGGAGACUGGAAUUUACGGUGUAGCGGUGAAAUGCGCAGAUAUCGGGAGGAACACCUAUGGCGAAGGCAGCUCGCUGGGACGUUACUGACGCUGAGACGCGAAAGCGUGGGGAGCAAACAGG